AUCAUCGGGAGCCAGCAGGCGAUCCCGUCGACGCUCUCAAGAAGGCGGUGCGCCUGCGGCCGUCGCGGCCCGGGUGGCGCGCAAUUCUCGCAAACGAACAGGUCAGAUCUGGACGUCGGGACGGCGCGAUCGCAAACUACGAGACGUUGCUUGCCAAAGCCGAGUCCAGCAACGAACGCUGGGCGCUUGGGCUGAAACAGCAGUGGCAGUUCGAACUUGAACGGACACACCAUGCCGCUGGCAAUCCGCGGGUGGACGACCCGCUGUUCGCCUGCCGAGCGGAACCUGCCGGCGAUCAACACCAAUCACCCCAUCCG
rnacentral:misc_RNA from 1 species